rnacentral:rRNA from 1 species
AGUGAACGCUGGCGGCGUGCCUAAUACAUGCAAGUCGAACGACGUGGCGCACGGGUGAGUAAUAUAUAGUUAAUCUGCCCUACACAGAGGAACAACAGUUGGAAACGACUGCUAAUACCUCAUAGUGUAGGAGGAGACUAUAUCGUAUCAGCUAGUUGGUAAGGUAAUGGCUGACCAAGGCUAUGACGCGUAACUGGUCUGAGAGGAUGAUCAGUCGCAUUGGAACGGAGACACGGUCGAGACGCCGACGGGAGGCGGCAGUAGGGGAUAGUACGGAGUGGGGGAGGCCCUGACGCAGCAACGGAGGGUGGAGGAUGACACUGUUCGGAGCGUACACUGCUUGUAGCAGUAAAGCGGUACCUGAAGAAUAAGCACCGGAGAACACCGUGCCAGCAGCCGCGGUAAUUA